rnacentral:rRNA from 1 species
UACAGAGGGUGCAAGCGUUAAUCGGAAUUACUGGGCGUAAAGCGAGCGUAGUCGGUUAUUUAAGUCGGGUGUGAAAGCCCCGGGCUCAACCUGGGAAUUGCAUUCGAUACUGGAUAGCUAGAGUUCGGCAGAGGGAAGCGGAAUUUCCGGUGUAGCGGUGAAAUGCGUAGAUAUCAGGAAGAACACCCGUGGCGAAAGCGGCUCUCUGGGACGGUACUGACGCUGAGACGCGAAAGCGUGGGGAGCGAACAGG